rnacentral:rRNA from 1 species
GAUGAACGCUAGCGGCAGGCUUAACACAUGCAAGUCGAGGGGUAUGCCGAUUUAUCGGCAGAGACCGGCGCACGGGUGCGUAACGCGUAUGCAAUCUACCUUUCACAGAGGGAUAGCCCAGAGAAAUUUGGAUUAAUACCUCAUAGUAUAGCAGUUUCGCAUGAAACCACUAUUGAAGUUCCAACGGUGAAAGAUGAGCAUGCGUCCCAUUAGCUAGAUGGUAAGGUAACGGCUUACCAUGGCUACGAUGGGUAGGGGUCCUGAGAGGGAGAUCCCCCACACUGGUACUGAGACACGGACCAGACUCCUACGGGGAGGCAGCAGUGAGGAAUAUUGGACAAUGGGCGCAAGCCUGAUCCAGCCAUGCCGCGUGCAGGAUGACGGUCCUAUGGAUUGUAAACUGCUUUUUAUACAGGAAGAAACACUCCGACGUGUCGGAGCUUGACGGGUACU